rnacentral:misc_RNA from 1 species
GUAUAUUUUAUUAUCCCCAGUACUCAACAUUCUAAAACAACAUUGUUAAAUGUAACAUAGACCUGGAAGCACAAGGCAAAGCUGUUCAACAAAGCACAGCAGUCCUAAAAACAAACAAACAACAUCCAGGUCUACAAUAUGUGCACAGUUGGAAAAAUAAAGAGAACAAGCGUGCACAUGUCUUUUGAGAGGACCAGCAAACAGCCUGUUCAGGUUUAUUUCAAUAAUGAUCCUUCCGCAGGUUCACCUACGGAAA